UACGUAGGGGGCAAGCGUUGUCCGGAAUCAUUGGGCGUAAAGAGCGUGUAGGCGGUCCGGUAAGUCGGCUGUGAAAGUCCAGGGCUCAACCCUGGGAUGCCGGUCGAUACUGCCGGACUAGAGUUCGGAAGAGGCGAGUGGAAUUCCCGGUGUAGCGGUGAAAUGCGCAGAUAUCGGGAGGAACACCUAUGGCGAAGGCAGCUCGCUGGGACGUUACUGACGCUGAGACGCGAAGCGUGGGGGGAGCAAACAGG
rnacentral:rRNA from 1 species